GUCUCCCCAGAGGUACAGAUUAAAGCUCUGGGUUCUGAUGCACAGAAGAUUAGCAUGGCCCCUGCGCAAGGAUGACACAUAAAUUUGUGAAGCAUUCCACAUUGUU